rnacentral:piRNA from 1 species
UAGGAUACUUUGGCCCUAGGGGACCACGGU